rnacentral:rRNA from 1 species
UUUCCGUAGGUGAACCUGCGGAAGGCAUCAUU